rnacentral:tRNA from 1 species
GGAGGUAUAGCUCAAGUGGUAGAGUGCCUGCUUAGCAUGUACAAGGUCCUGGGUUCAAUCCCCAGUAUCUCCA